CGAAACACACAAAACAAACACCCCCCUGCCACGCCCUGACCAAACUACAAUAACAAAUAACCCCUUUUACUGGUCAGGACGUGACAGUUAUGCCUACCCCUCUCUAUAAUCAGUGAUGUUAUGCAUACUCCUCUCUAUAAUCUGUCCAGUGAUGUUAUGUCUACCCCUCUCUAUAAUCAGUGAUGUUAUGCAUACUCCUCUCUAUAAUCUGUCCAGUGAUGUUAUGCCUACCCCUCUCUAUAAUCUGUGAUGUUGGGCCUACCCCUCUCUAUAAUCUGUCCAGUGAUGUUAGGCGUUCCCCUCUCUCUAAUCAGUGAUGUUAGGCCUACCCCUCUCUAUAAUCUGUCCAGUGAUGUUAGGCCUAACCCUCUCUGUAAUCUAUCCAGUGAUUGUAGGCCUACCACUCUCUAUUAUCUGUCCAGUGAUUUUAGGCCUACACCUCUCUAUUAUCUGUCCAGUGAUGUUUGGCCUACCCCUCUCUAUAACAU
rnacentral:lncRNA from 1 species